AGCUUUGGAAGUGGCAGUAUCGUAGCCAAUGAGGUUUAUCCGAGGCGCGAUUAUUACUAAUUGGAAGA
rnacentral:snRNA from 1 species